rnacentral:rRNA from 1 species
GAUGAACGCUGGCGGCGUGCCUAAUACAUGCAAGUCGAGCGAACAGAUGAGGAGCUUGCUCCUCUGACGUUAGCGGCGGACGGGUGAGUAACACGUGGAUAACCUACCUAUAAGACUGGGAUAACUUCGGGAAACCGGAGCUAAUACCGGAUAAUAUAUUGAACCGCAUGGUUCAAUAGUGAAAGACGGUUUUGCUGUCACUUAUAGAUGGAUCCGCGCCGCAUUAGCUAGUUGGUAAGGUAACGGCUUACCAAGGCAACGAUGCGUAGCCGACCUGAGAGGGGGAUCAGCCCAACUGGAAAUGGAAAACGGUCCAGAAUCCUACGGGGGGGAGGAGGGGGGAAUUUUGGCCAAAGGGGGGAAGCCUGAACGGGGCAAGCCGGGGGGGGGAAGAAGGGUCUCGGAUUGGAAAAACCUUUUAAUGGGGAAAAAAAAAAGUUGUAAGAAACUUGGCCGUUUUGAAGGGUCCAAAAGAAGAAACACCGGGUAACUUAGGU